CCGAAAUUCAAGGAGCUGAUUAUAAAUUGUUUAGAACAUAUCAAUUGUGUUACAAUACAAUAUUAAAAUUUAUUAUCAGUGGCUACAUACCACCGCAUUGAAUUAUACCUGACUUGUUUAAUAAUCAUAUAGUGAAUUCAACUAAUAGUUAAAACUACCAUAAAGGAAAAGCUUUAUGGGAUAAUAUUUAAUUCUCAACCAACUAUCUAAAUAGGCCUUAAAAUAGCCACAUUAUGUAACUAUAAAAUACUUAAUAUAUUAACUUAAAAAUAAUUAUAAAAACAUGCCUCUAAUAACUUUAUAGUUAAUAAAAAUGAUAAGAUUAUUAUUAAUUCAAAUUAAAAUACAACAAUCAAGCCACCUCUUUAAUCAUCCAUGAUAAAUAAUAUAUGUAUAUAUAGGAACUCGGCAAAUCUGCUGUUUUGGACUGUUUAACAAAAACAUUGUUUCUUGAUCCAUAAUAUAAGAAAUAAGUACUGCCCAGUGAUAUUAUUUCAACGGCCGCGGUAUACUGACCGUGCGAAGGUAGCAUAAUAAUUUGUCUCCUAAUUAGGGAAUAGAAUGAAUGGACAAACUCGAAACAUACUGUCUCUAUAACACACUAAUAACUUUAUCUUCAGGUGAAAAAGCCUGAAUAUAAUAAAAAGACAAGAAGACCCUAAAAGCUUUAUAUCUUACAGCUAACUCCAAGCACCAUGAUCUUUUGUUGGGACGACAACAAGAAUAAAAAACACUUGUAAAAAUAAAGACCAAGUCUCCAUUAUUAACCAAAAAAAGAAAAUAUGUAAGCUACUCUAGGGGUAACAGGCUAAUGUUCUUAAAGAGUACACAUUGACAAGAACGUUUGGCACCUCGAUGUUGGCUUAGGGACUCUCUUUCAUGCAAAAGUAAAAAAAGAAGGUUUGUUCAACCUAUAAUCCCCUACAUGAGCUGAGUUCAGACCGACGAAAGUCAGGUUAGAUUCUAUCUUUUUAAAAUAACUUUGGUAGUACGAAAGGACCCCAAAGU
rnacentral:rRNA from 1 species